rnacentral:rRNA from 1 species
UGAACGGCUAGCGGCAGGCUUAACACAUGCAAGUCGAGGGGUAUACGGGAGCUUGCUUCCUAGAGACCGGCGCACGGGUGCGUAACGCGUAUGCAAAUCACCUUUGCAGAGGGAUAGCCCAGAGAAAUUUGGAUUUAAUACCCUCAUAGUAUGUGAGAAUGGCAUCAUUUCACAUUAAAGUCACAACGGCAAAAGAUGAGCAUGCGUCCCAUUAGCUUGUUGGUAAGGUAACGGCUUACCAAGGCAACGAUGGGUAGGGGUCCUGAGAGGGAGAUCCCCCACACUGGUACUGAGACACGGACCAGACUCCUACGGGAGGCAGCAGUGAGGAAUAUUGGACAAUGGGCGCAAGCCUGAUCCAGCCAUGCCGCGUGCAGGAUGACGGUCCUAUGGAUUGUAAACUGCUUUGUACAGGAAGAAACACUGGUUCGUGAACCAGCUUGACGGUACUGUAAGAAUAAGGAUCGGCUAACUCCGUG